rnacentral:lncRNA from 1 species
CUACCUAGAGGUGUUUGAUGCCAAGGAUCCCCAGCUCCUUGAGGCCCAUAAUUCUGUUGAGGUGAAAAGCUUUGCUGAGGGCCAUGAUUCCAUUGAGAAGGAACAUUCUGAGGUGCACUGUAACUCUGCUGAGGCAAUGGAUUUUGUGGCUGCCCAUAGUUUUGCUGUGAGCACUGUAACACUGCUGAGGCAGUGGAUUUUGUGGCCACCCAUAAUUUUGCUGUGGAGGACUCUGUGGUGCGUUGUAAAUCUGUUGAGGUGGCGGAGGAUACUGUUGCGAACCAUAGUUCUGCUGGGGUGGAGGAUAUCUUGGUUGGCCAUAGUUCUGUUGGGGAGGAGGACCUUGUGCUGCAGCAUAGUUCUGCUGGGGCGGAGGACCUUGUGCUGCACCAUAGUUCUGUUGGGCUGGAGCACCUUGUGGUGGCCCAAAGUUCAGCUGGGCUGGAGCACCUUGCGGUGGCCCUUGUGCUACACCAUAGUUCUGCUGGGGCGGAGGACCUUGUGUUGCACCAUAGUUCUGCUGGGGCGGAGGACCUUGUGUUGCAUCAUAGUUCUGCUGAGCUG